rnacentral:sRNA from 1 species
GCCAGGCAUGGUGGCGCCCGCCUGUAAUCCAGCAGCUCAGGAGGCUGAGGCAGGAGGAUUCCGAGUUCAAAGCCAGCCUCAGCAAAAGCAAGGUGCUAAGCAACUGGGUAAGACCCUGUCUCUA